rnacentral:rRNA from 1 species
GACGAACCGUACGAACGUUAUUCGGAAUCACUGGGCUUAAAGGGUGCGUAGGCGGCGCAGAAAGUUGGGUGUGAAAUCCCUCGGCUCAACCGAGGAACUGCGCCCAAAACUACUGUGCUCGAGGGAGACAGAGGUGAGCGGAACUUAGGGUGGAGCGGUGAAAUGCGUUGAUAUCCUAAGGAACACCGGUGGCGAAAGCGGCUCUCUGGGACGGUACUGACGCUGAGACGCGAAAGCGUGGGGAGCGAACAGG